UGGGGAAUAUUGCACAAUGGGCGCAAGCCUGAUGCAGCGACGCCGCGUGAGGGAUGACGGCCUUCGGGUUGUAAACCUCUUUCAGCAGGGAAGAAGCGAAAGUGACGGUACCUGCAGAAGAAGCGCCGGCUAACUACGUGCCAGCAGCCGCGGUAAUACGUAGGGCGCGAGCGUUGUCCGGAAUUAUUGGGCGUAAAGAGCUUGUAGGCGGUUUGUCGCGUCUGCUGUGAAAGCCCGGGGCUUAACCCCGGGUUUGCAGUGGGUACGGGCUAACUAGAGUGCAGUAGGGGAGACUGGAAUUCCUGGUGUAGCGGUGAAAUGCGCAGAUAUCAGGAGGAACACCAAUGGCGAAGGCAGGUCUCUGGGCUGUAACUGACGCUGAGAAGCGAAAGCAUGGGGAGCAAACAGG
rnacentral:rRNA from 1 species